rnacentral:rRNA from 1 species
GGGGAAAAGCUCAAAUUUUAAAUCGGCGCAGGUUCACCUGGUCGAGUUGUAAUUUGAAGAAGCGUUUACCGCGUCCGGGUCGACCCAAAUCCUUUGGGAUAAGGUAUCAUGGAGGGUGAGAAUCCCGUCCGGUUGAACUUCAGGAUGUUUUACGUUACGCUUUCUAA